UGAGAAGACCAUGAAGCAAGGAUGUAAAAAUAUGUGCAGAAAUUACUAACAUAGACCACACCAUUAUUCAUUUGCACCGCCCCCCCCCCCCCAUGAUGGUGAUGGUUUGAAGGACAAAUGUACCCUAUGGCUCUUGUAUUUGGUUACUUGGUUCCCAUUUGGUGAAACUGUUUUGGGAAGUUCUAGAACCUUUAAAGAGUGAAGCCUUGAUGGAGGGACUAUGUCGCUGAGGGAUGGGCUUUCAGAUUUUGUAGCCUUUCCCCAGCUGCUGUUCACUCUUUGCUUCCUCCUCUGGCUGUUUGCUGCCAUGCCUUCCUGGGCAUUAUCUCCCUCUGGAACCGUAGGCCAAAGCAAACCAUCUUCCUUAAUUUGCCUUUUGCCGUAGUGUUUAUUUACUGCUAUAGAAAAGUAACUGAUACCAUAAUAAGAUUCCAAGCAUCGGCCAGCUCAUGCUAUAGUUUACACCAAAGACGUUUAACCAAGUACAGGGUGGGGAGUGGCUAUGCCACGCACACAUCAAACUUCACCUUCUAUAAUGGCAUCCUCGAGUUGUUUUAUAGUUUAAGCUGCUGCACAGAUUCUGUGGUGAUGCCUCCUGAGCAGGCUGCUGUUAUCAGCAAGCACAUGGCAGAAGCAGACAUUGGUGCCCCUGCUCACCUGCUGUGCAUGUCGGACAUCCCAGAAGUGAAACCUCAGCAGCUCCUGUCAAACCGGAAGAUGCAGCUCAGCCAUGCUGAACCAGACCUGCAGAUUCAGAGCAAACGGCAGCCAACACAAAUGAAGACAUAAAACUGGUACUUGAUGCUGCUGUGAGAAAUGCCCAUAAGAACAGACAGCAGGCAUGGACUGAUCACUGUUCUGUAGACUCUGAUGUAAACAUGAUGCAAACAUGAAAGAUGAAGAUGGAUUGGUGUAUGGUGAGCACUCACUUUCUGAUUCCUGCCAUGUGAAAUAGGCACAAACGUUUUCUUACCAAAUGGCUCUAACCUGUCCUUUGCCCUCAGGACACAAUCAGUGCACAAAGAUCCCACCUUCCAAUACUACACAAGUAGGAUUAGUUUUCUUUUCUUCUUUCUUUCAACUUUUUAUCUAUCCUUUGUGAAUCUUACACCACGUAUCCCAACCCCACUCACCUCCCUGUCCCUCCAUAUUGACCCUCUGCCCUUGCAACCUCCCCCCAAAGAAAACAAAUGAACAAACAAAUAAAUAAACAUCUCACCAUGGAAGCUGUGGUGUGUCACACAGCAAACCCUUUUUGCCCACUCAGCUUUCCUUACAGAUGUUCAUUGCAAUGAGUUAUUGGUCUGGUUUGAGGCUUCUGGCUUCGGCUACACUAUCAAUACUGGAUCCUCAUGGGGACUUCUCUCAGAUAUCCUGUUCUGUGUCAUGGAGAUCCUGUGGCUUUGGAUCUGCAGUACCAGCCACACCAGGUGCUCUAGUAGUUCUUAUAUUGGUGGAUGUUGG
rnacentral:lncRNA from 1 species